rnacentral:tRNA from 1 species
CCGCCUGUAGCUCAACAGCAGAGCAGCCGAUUGAUAAUCGGCCGAACCUGGUGCGACUCCAGGCGGGCGGACCA